GACAAAGCCCCUGGGGUUUGGAAGGAAGAACCGUCCCGAGACUGCAGGAGACUCUUCUCAGCUCUGUGGCCCACACUGUCCCCUUGUGGCUGCUGGCUGUCAGGGCCGCCUAGGGGCCCUGAAAUGAAGCAGUCUUCCUCUUUCCCACCCAGGGGGUUCCUCAUCAUCCAGGGACCCCUGACCCAGGGCAGGGCUGAUUUAGACCAUCCGUGGCUACCCUUCCAAGCUAGCCCAUCCGAGAGACAGAGUUUUCACACAGCAUUCUCCAGUAGGCUCCUCAGACCUGAACAACAAGGGACAUUCCCAGCCUUGAGUUCAACCCCUCUCUCUGGCACCUGUGGGUUCAGUAAAUACUUAUCGACUGACUCAUGAAAAGACAGGAAAUGGACACGUCUGUGGCCCUACCUUUCCCUGCUCAAACAUUUUACUGUGCUGCCUUUUCAGUCUGGCUUACCAGCCCUUCCACCGUCCAGCCAACGUACCUCUCUCCUUGCAGUGCCCUGAUAUUCCGUGAGCUUGCCUGUCUCCAUGUUUUUGCCAGGCCUGCUCCUUCUGCCUGGAAUACUCUCCUCCUUCAAUUACUCCCAGUUAAAAUCCUACCCCUCCUUUAAGACCCAUGACACUUCCUUCAUGAAGCCUUCCAAGAUUUCCUAAGGGAGCGGGUUCUACUUUUUAUUUGAAUCUCCAUAGAACUUUGACUCUCCUUUGAAGCUUACAACCUGCUUCAUCUCUAUCCUAGAUUGUAAGCACCGAGAGUGCAAGCUUUGUAUUUGUUUCAUCUUUGUGUCCCUCUCUCUCACCCCCUAGACAGAGCUUUGCCUAUAUAGUGGGUGCUCAGUAAACAUGUCUUGAAUUGAGUGAAGUGGAGCCUGCAGUUUGGGCCGCUGGGAGCCAAAGGAGAUGGGAAUGGGGUGCUCCGAGGCUUCAGGACACUAAAGGAGUGUUUUCAGAAGUGGGAGGCAAGGACCUCUACAGGGAGGGGAGUGAGGAAUCUGGGCCUCCUCAGGACCUCUCCUGGGGGGAGGAGCACUUUGCGGAAGAGAACAGUCAGCGGGAGAGCCUUGGAGAUGCUGUGGGUUGAGGAACGGCACCAGGUGCGGGGAAAAUUACAGGUUGGCCCCAGUGCCAGACGUGAUGGACCCCAACUAUCUGCAUCCUUAGUGGCAGGCAAAAAAAGGGGUAGGAAUCUGGAGGCAUGGAUUCUGGUCACGUCUCCUUCUCCCUCUAGCUGUGUAGUCUUGGGCAAGUUACUUCCCCUCUCUGAACUUAUUCAUCUGUAAAAUAGUACCUGACUUCCCAUGACCUGUUCAGCUCUGCUAUUCUGACUUCACGUCGAGGUUCUGAAGCAGAGGGGUGAUGGUCAAUGGGGACUGGUACAUGAGCCCCCUCAGGCCUGAGCACCAGGAAUAAGCCCACCCAGGUGCUGGACCAGAGCAGGUGACAGAGUCCAAAGCCAUGAAGAAGGAGGCGUGUGACUUGGGUAAGCUGUGGCCUGGCUUGGAGGAUGUGGAGGUGGGUGGCAGGGGGAGACAACACCCCCAAUUCAGAGCAAGUAAAGUGCCCAGUUAGCAGGCCCCAGGGAAGGGUUUUUGGGACCCCCUUUCUUUUGCCGUGCUUCUCUGUCCUCUUCCUUGCCCCAUCCCCUGACUUAGUAAAUAAAGAUCUGGAAUUUGAAUCCCAGCUGCUCAACUGUGUGGCUCUGAGAAGGUCAUUUAACCUCUCUGGGCCUCAGUUUCUGCAUCUGUAAGUGGAGUUAUUGAAACUAACUCAGAAGAUGGUUGUGAAACUACUCAUGUGAAA
rnacentral:lncRNA from 1 species